rnacentral:lncRNA from 1 species
AAUUAAUUAUGCCAAUUUUCAUUCAACCAUGUUUAUUUUGGGGGACAAAUAAGUUCUGUAGGGCGGGCACUGUCCACCUACGCUUGGGUGUACAAGCGUCAUGCUCUCACAAAAUGAGCUACAUGACAAAAUAAUGCCAUCACAGUUUUUUGUUUGACAUACAUUGAAUAAAAAAAAAAAAAAAACAUAAAUAUUCUUGGGGUGAGCAAUGACCUCCCUGAUAUCAAGAACUCAUGACAGCCUACAGUUGCUAGGUAACUUGCAAGACAGGUAGGAAGUAGGCUACUCAACAUCAUCAUUAGCUACCGGCUUCCGGCUGCAGAAGGAAACUUUUGUCUGAGUGCUCUUAUUGGAGUGUUAUACUGGUGUAGGAUGUCUGCCAUGCAUUGGGAAGCCCGGCGCCGGCAGGCCAUGGUUGACCGCAGAAUGUCCAGAGCCAAGCAGCAGAUGGCAAAGGACCCUCCGGAGCAAAGCUCAAAGCCAGAGGCAGAGGCUAAGGCACCGACUCAACAGCCAGCUGGGAACGAAUGUCCAAAUUGCAGCAAAAACAACUUAAUGAACUUGACAACAUACAACGCUAAGAUUGAAAAUAGAUACUCAUCCAUACAGUACUCUCAGCAAUGGUGAAGACUCCUUAUCCAGUCUAAUGAAGAAGACCCAUAUGCAAAAGAGGCUGAACUAAUAACUAAUGAACUAAUAAAAUAUAAUUGUUAAUAUAAUUGUGUAGCUUAUCCCACUACUUCUAGCAGUAUUAUUUAUAUUUGAGUAGUAUAUUAUAUUUCAGGACAUUUUCCACACACAGAUUGAGUGAAAAAGAGUAAGGGAUGGUAAGUUCAACUCUUUUUCACAUAUAUCUUUUCGAGCCUUCUGUAAAAAUAAAUGUUGAGACAUUUCGUUCAUUAGUGUCAGUAAAGGCUUGGGCAUGCUGUGUAGUUAUGAGGGAAUGCUUACCAAUUGCAACACUUUGUGAAUGGAUUACAACACCCUUUUAUGGCGAAUUGUGUUCUCAGUCUUUUCGAGUAUGCGUGUUCCAGAAAUAAAAAAUAGUCUAAUUGUUCAGGAAACUUCACCAUCUGGCAACACUGCUUCCAGCAAUUCUACAGGAUUGGGUUGGGCAAAUCACAUCUCAACUAAUCGCACCAUACUGCCCCCUAGUAAUAUUACUGAGUUUGAGUAAUCAAAAAGUUACGUUACGGAUUACAAAUGUGGACAGGUAACUUGUAACGGAUUACAUUUAAAAGUAUAAACUUGAAUUUGGGCAUGUGUAGAAAUACCCUUUAAAUUACCAACACUAGUACAUUUACGUAUUAACAUUUAUUCACAAGUUAGUAUAUCUUCCAUGUCCAUAGUGUUUAGCUGAAUGCAGAUGCACGGACACUAAAUGCACUUUGCGUAGCACGCAAUAAUGUUUUGGAAACAUAUGGAAAGUAUAUCCCAUUCGAUCAUUGCAGUUGAAAAUCUAAAUCUAAUGAUGCUUAAGCUUGUUGAUAUGUGUUUUAUUCAUGUUUUUCAUUGCUUCAAAACAUUUUUGAAAAGUAAAUGGCAAUUACUCGAAAAGGGUAUUGACAUUGUUGUAUAUAAAAUUAAGAUAUCCGUAGCUUUUCACGCAUAAACUAAAUCUGCAGUAGUCUGAUGAUUUGCUCCACAACCAACAUUGUCAAAAUGUUGCAGUAACCCCCUGCACACGAAUGCACAUUUGCAACCCUGAACACCUGCAUAGAAAUAAGAUUUACCCGCGCAAAAGUAACCUGCGAUUAUUAUGGCUACCAGUGAUGGAUUUUCAAAACGCAAAUGAAAGAAAUAAACGGUGAUUAUAAACCUGCACUCUUAGCUUAAAGUAAAUGACGUCAGCAGCCAAUGAUAACCAAUGAACACAAUUUUCAGAGAUGCAAAGCAAGCAGUAUCACAUGGCCUACCUGCAUGGACGGAUGUGGCAGCGAGGUAAAGUUAGUUUUAUAAUGGACAUUCAGUGGAAAUUCCUAUUCACCCGUCAAAAACCAACUAAUUUAGGGCAAU